UAGUUAUGUCAAUUCCCCUGCCAUACACCAAAUCUACCCUGAUUUAGUUUCCCUUGUGUGUCAUUUCUCUGCCAUCAUCUCUCUACGAAUGGGCGGGAAAACGUCAAACCCACCCAACAAUAACAAAUAUACCCCAAGGAUUCUGGGCAAACGUCGACUAACAUAGCAGAAUUCCGAAUUCCGCCUCCCAGGAGUUAAUCAUGGCUCAAAAUGGAGCCUUGAACGAGGUAGAUCCGAAUACACUCCGGCGAGAUAAAAGGUCAGCGGAGACCUCGUCGCAAUCUAAGGCGGAGCAUGAGGAGCGGAAUCUGACCGAGUUGGUCGAGCAAAGUCAACACGAACGGAAAGAACUUCGAGACCAAUAUCGCGACUUGAUGAAUUGGACCACCCAUGAGGGCGAAGAAACUUUACUCCAAGAUCAUCAAAAUAGGGAAACGGACGAGAGAUUGGAACAUGUUAUAGACCAGGCGGAUGCGUUAUAUUCGCGUGUGAAACACGCCGAGGAGGCGGUUUUAGAUGCCCAGAUUUGUAAACAGAUCUCGCGGUUGUGCCGUCAACGGGCGGAAGGCUUUUCCACCAAUGUCCAAGGGUUUCACGCCCAAGAAUAUGCGAACAAACUGAUCUCGGUCAUGAAUGGGUCCAAGGACGAGAAUGGCAACGCCAUCAUUCCACAACUAAACUGGGUGCGAUUAGGUCAAGCCACCAAGGGCCUGUUUGCUCGGGGCCCAUCUUUACAGUACAUGAAUGGGGCUCUAACCGAAACCAAGAUUACGAACAAAACUCAUCUCGUCAAACAAAAGCGCAUGUCUCAAAAGGAAAACAUUCACGUCACGAAGUCCACGGCUCUGAAGGAGACUGAAAAGUCCGACAAUUUGACCGAAGCAAUGGUUCAAGCUGCUUAUGGCAGCUUGGUCACCUAUUUUAAAGCCAAUGGGAAACGACCCAUUAACUACUUUGAGUUUGUCAUUGACCCCCAGAGUUUCGGAUCGACAGUUGAAAAUGUUUUCCAUGUCUCAUUUCUCGUCAAAGAGAAUCGGGUUCGAUUUUCAAUUCAAAAUCGAAUGCCUUUCAUCGAGCCUGUGAAGAGAAAGACCCUGGAAACGACCCAAAUCGGGGACGAGGGGAACAGCCGAAAUCAGGCAGUGCUUGUGUUGUCCAUGGCUCAAUGGCGCCAAUUGAAGCAACAUCUCAAGAUCACCAAUGCCAUGAUUCCUCGCCGAGGGAUCACCGCCCCCGCCAAGCCAAAAAAGGGCAUGAGAACGGAGUAAAAUAAGGUUCGCCUGGCGCGGACAAACGAGAUCAGCUCAGAGGUGAAAACGAAAAGGCGAGUCAAAAUAUGGCUGCUUCAUCGAAUCAAAAAGUGCACCGAGACUAUGAGAUUGCGAAACUACAAGCAAGGGUUAAAGCACUGGAAUAUGAAAACUCCAUGAUCGUGAGAAUGCUUCAACGAGUGAUCGUGUCAAAUUCUCAAAAUGCCAGUUUCCAGCAACAACCGUCUUACUCGGAAAUGCAAUCCGACCCGAUUUCGUCAUCCCAGGUAACUUUUGAUAGAAACGCUCUCAAAGAGAUCAAUGAUGCGUCGGAAUUUUAUGAUUUGGACGACGACGACGACGAAGAAGAAGAUUAUGAAGACGAAGAGGCCGACGAUGAGGGGCACGAAAACUUUGAAAACUAUGAGGAUUACGAAGAAGAGGAAGAAGACCAUGUUCAUAACGAGGAAGAACAUAAUCCAGCCCCGGUGACAACAUUGGAGGCGGAUGUUCUUAUCAAAGCCUUUGAAAAAGCCAUUCAAACGAGCCAUUGCGAACAAUGAUCGAUUGUUGUCGUGGGAUUGCCUUACUGUGAAAUAAAAAAAUAGAUCGUCAACGUAGCUCAACGUGGUUUUCCAUUCUCUUGUUCUUGGCAUUGAAAUUGAACACUUUGCAUGCUCGUUUGUCCUGCAUUCACUUAAGAAAUCAGAGGCGUGUUCAAUGAUCUGUCGCAAAGUCGGUCGAUAAGUUGUGUUGAGAUCAUGUGGAUUGUCCAUUUGUUUCUUUCGAGUCUGAUCAUGUGGCUCUCAGUUUACCACAUCGAAGGAGCCAAGAUGUCGUCGUCUGAACAAUCUGUGACCAUUGAACUGAAUCCCAACCAUGCGGGGUCAAAUCUGACCAUGCUGACUUUUAAUGAUUCAGAUUCACACGUGGAUGGUUUCGACAAAAAUCGUGCCAUGGGAUUGAACUUUUUAUCCACAGCUUGGUCUCAAGCUUGGAUUGAACUACAUAAACUUUUGCUCAGUGAGCUUCGUAAUUAUUUAGUGGCGGAGCCUGGACAGUCCCAAGGUCCAGGGUUUAAUUCGCUUGUUUUUUUUCAAAACAUUGAAUUUUAGUGUUUUGUAUGUUAUUCGAGUAAUACACACUUAUCAGCAACUACA